UCCAUAUUUUCCCUUCUAAAUCCUCUUCAAUUGGCUUCCUAUUGUGUUAAUAUAAUUGUUCAAUUUCACGCUUACGCAUUUACGAGCGACUAAUUACCAAAUAGUGAAGUACCCACAUUAUAUAUUUUUUUCUUCGUCGUAUAACUUAUCGAUAAUUUUUUCCUUUUAAUUUAAUAAUGGCCCAACUAGAUGUUUUAAUUCGAAAACGUAGUGGCAUGAAAGCCAAGCUUACAAAUUUUUCUAAUUAUAUUAGCUCAAUUAGCGCUUCUGGCAUAAUUUCCGAACUUCAACAUGAAUUGCAAUGUCGACUAAAUAAAUACGAGGCCUUAUACGAUCAAUUCGAUGAAUUACAGGUGGAGAUUGAGGUGUGUUCCGACAAGCCAGAGGACGAAUAUGAGGAACGUUCAAAUUUCGAAGAGCGUUAUUACGCGCUGAUGGCGCAAGCGCGCAGUCUGUUGUGCCGUGAAGGUGCAACGGAUGAUGGCCGCUCUGUUGCAGGCUCGAUAUGCAAACAAGCAGCUAUGGUGAAAGUGAUUGACGACAACGGCGACAGCAUGGACGCACGGCUUCUACUUGAUAACGGCAGUACGGCUAACUUUAUAACGCAGUCGCUUUGCAGUAAGCUAAAAUUACCUACACGUUCCGCCAACUACCGAGACAGUCAACAUCAAAUUUUACGCAGUCUUGUAACUUGUGUAUAAGAGAUCUGGACAACAAUUUGAAAAGGGUUUGCCAUCUUCCAAAUCUACUUGCCAUUACAACGCAUCACAACUAUUAAAUCUAGCUGGAUUGAAUCGCGAGUCAGGUUUUCGAUCUUUAACAAAUAAAUUUUCUAACUUUAAUCGUCUUAUAAGAGUAAUGUCAUAUGUGCAACGUUUUGUAUAUAAUCUUAAAAACAAAAAGUAACAAACGAACCGGUUUACCUACUAUGGAUGAAUUAGAUCAAGCCUUAAAAAGCGUAAUGCAGAACGUUCAAAUUGAUAUGUUUCCCGACGAAUACGUUUUGUUAAAAAAGGUAAAUCGUUACCUCGUAAGAAUAGACUUUCGUCUUUGAGUCCGUUCAUAGACGGUGACGGUGUCAUACGUGUAGGCGGAAGGCUUGAAAACUCAUCUUACGAAUAAAACAUCCUAUUUUGCUGUGUAGUAAACAUCACGUUACUAAAAUAUUAUUUCAGAAAUAUCGCAUAGAUUUAUUGCACGCAGGACCUCAACUGCUCUUAGCAAAUAUACGUCAAUUAUAUUGGCCGUUAGGGGGCAGAAAUCUUUCUAGAAUAAUCGUAAGAAAUUGCUUAAGAUGUUUCAGGUAUAAUAAUACAACUAUACUGCCUGUCAUGGGACAAUUACCAAUUUCUCGUACCAACUUAGAAUUUCCAUUUUUACAUUGCAGUGUCGACUAUGCCGGACCUAUACUGAUAGCUGACCGGAAAGGAUGAGGGUAUAAGCUUAUAAAAUCGUAUGUGUGUAUUUUUGUUUGCCUUGCAGUCAAGGCUGUGCAUAUUGAGCUUGUUACAGAUCUGUCUAAGGAAGGCUACUUUGCUUUGAACUGUUUCGUGGCUCGUCGGGGCAAACCUCAGUCCAUCCUGUCAGACAAUGCAACGAACUUUGUCGGAGUUUCCAACGAGUUGGAACAAUUUUUACAGACUUCAAACCUCCCUUCGGAGGUCGCUCAGCAGGGUGACAAACAUGAAGGUCGAGCAAUUGCAACAUUACGAAAGAAUCAAUUAUAUGAAGCAACAUUUUUGGAAGCGAUUUUCUAAAGAAUACGUCUCUUUACUUCAAGCUAAGACUAAAUGGUUCCAUUCAACAGGAAAUCUAUCUGUGGGGACUCUUGUACUAUUGAAGGAAGCAGGUCAACCUCCCCUACUGUGGCCAUUGAGACGAGUCACCAAAAUUUACCCUGGCGUCGAUGGCGGUUCAAGAUUGGCAGAACUGAAGAUGAAAGGGAUAACUGUUCUGCGAAGCUACAAAAACAUCUGUCCGCUUCCCUUGGACUAGAAUCUACUUACCACUCUUACAUCAUGACUCUUGCCUUACAACCACUUUCGUCUGUUUAUCCACAGCCAUGGGCCCAUCACUCUGCUUCUUUGAACAAAGGUGUUCAACCCGGGGAGGAUGUUCGCGCCUGAGGUGCGGGCAACACCACUACCGGUGCGAACCGACGUGCGGUGGCACGAAACGUCAACUUGAACUUCCGCUUUCGACCGCCGAUGCAUACGCGCAACGAUCAAUUUGUCUAUUUGCAACUCUGUAUUUACCGCUUAUUAAACCAUUACAACCAAAUAAUUGUGUU